UGGGGAAUUUUGGACAAUGGGGGCAACCCUGAUCCAGCAAUGCCGCGUGUGUGAAGAAGGCCUUCGGGUUGUAAAGCACUUUUGUCCGGGAAGAAAUCGCACCUGAUAAUACCGGGUGUGGAUGACGGUACCGGAAGAAUAAGGACCGGCUAACUACGUGCCAGCAGCCGCUGUAAUACGUAGGGUCCAAGCGUUAAUCGGAAUUACUGGGCGUAAAGCGUGCGCAGGCGGUUGUGCAAGACCGAUGUGAAAUCCCCGGGCUUAACCUGGGAAUUGCAUUGGUGACUGCACGGCUAGAGUGUGUCAGAGGGGGGUAGAAUUCCACGUGUAGCAGUGAAAUGCAUAGAGAUGUGGAGGAAUACCGAUGGCGAAGGCAGCCCCCUGGGAUAACACUGACGCUCAUGCACGAAAGCGUGGGGAGCAAACAGG
rnacentral:rRNA from 1 species